UGCUAGGAAUGAGAAGUUGUCAGCGUGACACAGACUCAUCACAAUUGUAUGCAUCAAAGGGCACUUGGAUUACUCAGUAAGCUCUAGGUUUUACACAAGCACAUUUAGUAAAUACAAUGAUGUAUGUGAGUGCAAGAAACGACAACAUUGCAUGGAGAUUGAUUUACCUAUGCUGGUUGCAGUCAAAUCUCUGCGCGGAGGUUUAUCGCAGCAUGGGUGCAAAAAUGUACCAUGUGCCUAUAACCUACAAAGUAAACAUGCAUGUCAGACGCGAAGCUGUGCAUAGGCAGUGUAGGCACUAGUCUGAACAUCAUUAUGAAAAAUAGAAAAAUAUUAAGACAUUCAUUCGCUCUACCAUGGGCGAGAAUCGCCUUACAGCGUUUACAGUGCUCUACAUUCACCGGGGAAGGUGUAUUGGACAUUGCAAAAGUGAUCAACACGUGAACGUUUGGGCGGGCGUUUAUUAUAUAAAGGGGCUAAGAAGAUGCAAAAAGCUUUUCCCAGGCAAAAAGACAACAGUUCCAGUACCUGUGAGAGCUAGACAAGGACUUAGUAGUAGUGAUGUCAAACCUUCCUCAGUAACAGACAGCCUAGGCCAUUCGAUAGCACUUCAUGAAGAUAUGCAGUCAAUUCAUAG